ACCUGGACCCAGCGUAGACAAAGA
rnacentral:miRNA from 1 species